rnacentral:rRNA from 1 species
UGGGGGAUAUUGCACAAUGGGCGCAAGCCUGAUGCAGCGACGCCGCGUGGGGGAUGAAGGCCUUCGGGUUGUAAACUUCUUUUGCUCUGAACAAGGCGCACUUUGGGGUGUGUUGAGUGUAGGGGUUGAUUAGCGCCGGCUAACUACGUGCCAGCAGCCGCGGUAAUACGUAGGGCGCGAGCGUUGUCCGGAAUUAUUGGGCGUAAAGGGCUUGUAGGUGGCUGGUUGCGUCUGUCGUGAAAGCUCAUGGCUUAACUGUGGGUUUGCCGGGGGUACGGGCUGGCUUAAGUGCAGUAGGGGAAGCUAGAAUUCCUGGUGUAGCGGUGGAAUGCGCAGAUAACAGGAGGAAUACCGGUGGCGAAGGCGAGUCUCUGGGCUGUUACUGACACUGAGGAGCGAAAGCAUGGGGAGCGAACAGG